CACACAUACAAACUAAAAUUACACAUUUUACAGAUUUCAGAAAUGAACCAAGUUCCCAGGCGGAGGUUCACGGUGGUGCUUCUCUUGCUUUAAAAGCUGAGUUGGGCAGAUGCUGAGGCAGGAGAGUAGGGCAAGUGGCUCAUCAUGCCUGUAAUCCCAGCACUUUGGGAGGCCGAGGCGGGCAAGUCACUUGAACCCAGGAGUUUAAGACCAGUCUGGCCAACAUACCAAGACCCCAUUUCUACCAAAGAAAAUAAAAGCUGAGUUGGAGCCUCCCCUGGUGUUGAGAGAUCAGUUGCCUACAAGGUCUGAGGUGUCCCUGUGGACCUUUGAGGGGACUGCUGCACAGGGCCCAGCCCGGACGUGGCGGCCUCACCCGGUGGGGCUCAUUCCUGCAGGCCUUCGGGGCUGUGGAGGCCAUCUCUGACCGGAUCUGUAUCCACACCAAUGCGCACGUCAGCGUGGAGGUGUCGGCGGAGGACCUGCUCACCUGCUGUGGCAGCAUGUGUGGGGACGGCUGUAAUGGUGGCUAUCCUGCUGAAGCUUGGAACUUCUGGACAAGAAAAGGCCUGGUUUCUGGUGGCCUCUAUGAAUCCCAUGUAGGGUGCAGACCGUACUCCAUUCCUCCCUGUGAGCACCACGUCAACGGCUCCCGGCCUCCAUGCACAGGGGAGGGAGACACCCCCAAGUGUAGCAAGAUCUGCGAGCCUGGCUACAGUCCGACCUACAAACAGGACAAGCACUACGGAUACAAUUCCUACAGCGUCUCCAAUAGCGAGAGGGACAUCAUGGCCGAGAUCUACAAAAACGGCCCCGUGGAGGG
rnacentral:sRNA from 1 species